ACUUUUUCUUGGCUUUUUGGCUAAGAUCAAGUGUAGUAUCUGUUCUUAUCAGUUUAACUUUUAUUUAAUAAAUAUAAAUUUCGAAAGUACAGCUUUUGGAUUAUAGCGGCUUUUUCCCCCCAUAACCACCCUCC
ensembl:snRNA U2 U2 spliceosomal RNA